AUCAACCUCUAAUUGGUGGAAUUUCGGGUUCAGGAUACCAAUCUCGACCUUAUCAAUACACCCAAAUAAUCAUGAUCCAAAACUUUAAACUCUUCCACACUCUGGUUGCUCAAGAUUUGUACCCACUUAGGACACAAAAGGGAAGGUGUUUGCAGCCACAAAGGCUAGAGAAGAACAAGAAGAAAACCGGCCAAAGAGAAGCACAAAGCAAAAAGGCAGGGCUUGUUUUUUCUCUCAAACAAAAAACACACAUUAAUGACAAACAAAUGAGGCUAGCAUAUAUAUAGGUUAGGUUAGGUUAAAGUGAUGGGCCCAAGCCCAAUACAAAUACGGUAAGUGGGCCAACAUAUAUAAGUCAUCCAAUGAGUGUAGAAAUCGGGCCAUAAGCAACACUAAUUAAUUAGGUUGCUUCCAAUGGUCCAAAUAAUCUUAGGGUUGGGUCAUCAAUCUUGGGUGUCGAUAUUUAAUUUAUCUAAUAUCGAUUUAACAUCAUCGUCCGGAUUAUUAGGUAUUAAAACCCAACAAUCUCCACCUUGAUGCAUAAUAAUCUGCAAGCAAACAAAACACAUAGUUUAUACUUGCACAAGCAAGAUAAUCCAAUAAAAUUGGUAUCACAGACCUUAUCUCGUGUUUCGAACUUAAAACAUAUACCUUACGUGCUCCAUGUACUCAUCAGAGUUAAGGUCCAAAAAAACUCAAGUAGGAACAAGUAUUCACUAGGCCUGGGCGUGGUUUGGUUUGGAUCGGUUUCAACCUCAACCCGAAAUCAAAACCAAAUUAGUCGGUUUGGAAAAUUUUCAACCCAAACCUACCCACUCUAGCUUUUAAACCAAACCAACCAAAACCAAAUCGGUUCGGUUCGGUUUGGUUUGUCGGUUUAGACUUUUAAAUAUUAUCGCAUAAUAAAAAAUGAAAAGUCAUGCAAAAAAUAAUAUAUGCCAUUCAAUUUAAAUACUCACACUGACAUAGACAAUAACCAACACAUAACCAUAGGUAAACCGAAUCUUCGUCAAGCUUUUUUCCAUCCCAAUAUAAUCCAAAUUCAAGAGUAAGAAAAUAAAUUUUAUGUUACAAGAAAGAAACUCAAGCACAAAAAAUAAAUUUUGUUAACAUCUAAUGUAUAGACUUGAGGAAAAUAAAAUGUCCAAGAAAGUGAAAUCGAAGUUCCAAAAGUUGUCUACCAAGCACGGCCAUCAUCUUGAAUCACCUUCACCUACAAAACUGGUAACUUAAAAUUAUAUUUCAUUGUAAAGAUAUGAUCAAAUGCGAUGCAAAACAAUAAAAUUACCUUACGCAAACACCUAAAAUGACUUAUUUAUCUUUGAUGUUGGAAUCUUCAUCCGUUUUCGUUACUUCCGAAAGAUCUAAAAAAUAAAAUGAUUCAAUUAGUAGUAAAUGAAUUUGAAACACAUGUAAUUAACACACUUAAUGAAAUAGUUAAUUAAUAAUUAUCUUCAUCCAAUUUAUUAUAAUACUCUACAUCCUCCAUGUAAAAUUUGUCUUCGCUUGGAGUAGAUUUGAGUGCAAACUAAAAUCUUGACCAUCUUAGCAGUUAAAGAACUACGAAAUGGGUCUAGAAUUCUUCCCCCUAUACUGAAUGCACUUUCUGAAGUCAUCGUAGACACUUGAAUUGCCAACACAUCUUUUGCAAGUUUGGACAAUAUUCUAUACUUAAUUCCAUGUACCUUCCACCAAUCAAGGACAUCAAACUCCUCCUCUUCUAUAUCUUCACAAACAUCCAAUAAAUAUCUUUCCAAGUCAUUUUUUAUCUCAACUGAAUCUUUUGCUGCUUGUUGUUCUUUAAACUUGGAAAUACGAGUAGAAGAUGCACACUUGCAGAUGUAUCCAUCGAUACUUGACUUCUUCGUGGACUUCCCUCAUACAUCACAUACCAGUCAUAAAUUGAAAACAAAUUUUCCUUCAAUGUUUGGGUCAUUGUACUAGCCAUUUUUUUAUCAUUAUAAAUAUCACAAAAUCAAUACUGAACAUAAUCUAAUUUAUAUCUGGGAUCAAACAUGGUAGCAAUCAACAACAUUUGAUUGACAUUGUCCAUAUUCCCCCAAUACUUAUGAAAUUUUCUCUUUAUAUUAGCAGCCAUUUCACCUAAAAGAUAAUUUUUACUUGAACUCCAAUUUGCUAAAUCCGCUACAAAUGAACAUACUUCAUGAAGAUAAAUUGUGGAGCUAACAUGUAAUGAAGUACUGAACUUUAAAGUGAUUUCAUAAAGCCCUUUAAGAAACUUGAUAAAAAUAGAUGAAUAUCACUUACUAAAGGGGUCCACCUCUUCUUCUACCACCAUCAUCCUCUCGAAAUUAACUUUAAGUAAUGUCCAUCCUCCUCUUCUAAGUGCUUGAAAGCUUUUUGAUACUUCAAAGCAGCCUCCAACAUUAAAUAGGUAGAAUUCCACCUUGUAGGCAUAUCUAGAAACACAAGUGAUUUUGAUUUGAUCUUUUCUUUAGUUGCGCACUCUUUCAAUUUUUCGUAUCUAGCAGGAGAGGAUUUUACAUACUUCACUGCAUUACAAAUACUAACUAUAGAAUCAUGUGCUUCCUUCAGCCCCUCACGCACUAUCAAGUUAAUGAUAUGUGCACAACAUCUCAUGUGUAAAUAUUUUCCAUCCAAAACACACCCAUCAUUACCCUAACCAAUCAUCUUCCAAGAUAUGAAAUAGCCGUUUCAUUUGCAAUAGCGUUGUCCACUGUGAUUGUAAACACCUUGUCAAGGCGCCACUCAAGCAAGCAACUUUCUAUAACCUUGCCGAUGGUUUCACCCUUGUGAUUAGGUAUCACACAAAAAUUCAAAAUUCUUUUCUUAAGCAUCCAAUUAGAGUUAACGUAAUGGGCUAUAAGAGACAUAAUUUAUAUUUUGAAUGGAUAUCCAAAUAUCUGUAGUAAGUGAAACUCUUUGACGUUGAGUUGUAAGGUUCUUUCUCAACUCUAAUUUCUCACUCAAAUAUAGUUGGUAAAUAUCCCUCACAAUAGUCCUACGCGAUGGAAGAUCAAAUUUAGGACAUGCUACACUACAAAAGUGUCUAAAUCCCAUCCCUUCAACAAAACUAAAAGGUAGUUCAUCGACAACCACCAUUCUUGUGCAUGCUAAUCUACACACUUCCUUACUAAACCCAAUAGCCAUAAGAUUGGUCCCACCACCAAUUUGUUUAUCAAAACUUAAGAUUUUUUGCCUUUUGUCACCCACCCUACCAGGAUACUUUUUACAAUGUUUAACUAAAUGACAUUUUAAAGUACUAGUCUCAUAUUUCUUAGCCCCAUAGGCAUAAGAUUGCCCACAAUAUUUACACUCACACCUGACAUCUUCAGCUUUUGGAUCUCCCAUUAUCGUGAAAUGAUCCUAUACAUCCGAAGUUUUCCUGUUAUGCUUUCUCUUCCCUAAACAUGACGGUGGAAGUGGAGGAAGCUUCGUAAUAUUUCUACCUGGAAUUGAUGUUGCUGGGUUUUCUCUAAUGUAUUCACAGUCAUUGUCAAUAUCCAUAUUCAAACACCUGCACAUAGUGUACAUGUAUUACAUUAAAAUUCAGAUUUUAGUUACUAAGGCAAAUUAAAUAAAAUGACAGAUUACAGUUUACAAAUAAAGGAUUUUCAGAUUGUUAAUUUACACUUACAAGUUACAAAGAUUAAAUAGAAAUAUGGAUUCCACAAUCUCAAAUAUGGAUUACAGAUUUACAGAUUUAAAUAGAAACAGUUUACAGAUGCGUUCCACAAUCUCAAAUAUAGAUUACAGAUUUCAUAUUACACAUACAAAUGCAAUAGAUUUCAGAUUUCCACGAGAUAGAGCAGGGGCACAGCCGCUUAAGAGCUAACUCAAUCAAUAAACUCCACGACAAGAGAUUUGUAUAAAUUAUAAAGCCAACAGAAAGAAAAAUCCAGACAUAAAUUAACACUCAAGCAAAAUAGUCAAAACACAAAAAUCGAACUAGAUCAAAUGAGGAAAUGAAUACUAGAUUACCUUGCAGCUACGACGUCGGACUGUCGGAAUCUCGGUGAGUUGAAGUUGAUUUUAGGCUUUAGGAGUAAUAUAGGAGCUAGGAAAAAGCGCUCGAAUUUGGAUUGCAACGGGAGUUGGAGACGGCGAUGAGAGAUUGGAGAAACCGAGUAUAAUGAGAUUAGUUUAGGAUAACCGAGUGACGGAGUGAAUUGUGAUUUGGGAAUGAAAUAUGUGAUUCACUGAUUUGGAACGGAAAAAAAAAAAACCUUCGUGGAUUAGGCCAGUUCGGUACCCCAUCGGUUUGAGCCUUCAAACUGUGAACCGAACCAACCCAAUUUGAUUUUGCGUUAUAAAAACUAAACCAACCCAAAAGAUUGAAUCGAACCAACCCGAACCAGUUCGGUUUGAUUGGUUUAGGCGGUUUACCGGUUUUUUGCCCAGCCCUAGUAUUCACAGUGAACAAAUAAUCAUGCGAUGAAGAUAUUAUAUAGAAUAAUACACAGAUCUUUUUAAAAUCUCGUUCACAUAGAGCCAAAGAUUAACAUCAAGUUAAUCAGCAUACGGUCAAACACAUAUGCAACAAAUGUAUAAAUGACCCCACGAAAGAUCUUACCACACUUAUCCUAUCCCAUUUCAUGUUUCUUCCAUCUCGAGAACACGUAUCUCUCCUCAUCGCCCACCAUGCUCACUAAAUAAUCACUCAACUCAUGUCUAAGUCGCAAGUCACAAUAAAUCCUAAGCUCUUGGGAUAAUCCUCUAUCACCACGUCACUUCUCCCAAGCUACGUGGAUAAUGGGUCUCCACCUUACCGAAGUGAUAGAAGUGUCUCUCUCACACUCCACGAGUACAGGGUCUCUUUCACAGAUAAAGGAUUCUAGACAUUUGAUCACAUCUUCACUCGUUAUCCAAAUGUCACAUUUUACAUCCCCGGUACAAACCACAAUGUACCCCUAAGCAUUUAUACUCCACCUUACCAAAAGACAUACAACUCACUGCUAAUACAUCCUAACCCAUUAUGCAUGCAAACAAUCACAUCAAUUAAUCACAUUACCUCAAAUUCAUGCUAACACACAUAUCAAACAAAUUGAAAUGCAGCAUAUAAUCAUGCAACGGAAUUAGGGAAUCACACAUAUGCAAAAAGGAUCACACACGGAUGCAUAUGCAGCAACUAGGUUUACUCUCAAUAAACCUCACUAGGACCAUAACUCGACCCCUCAACUACAUUCGUCUCACCUCUCACAUUACCCCUCUGCUUAUCCUUCUUCUUGGGACAGUCCUUAAUAAAGUGUCCAGACAUACCACAGUUGUAACACCGUUUACCACUAGACUUGUCCCGUCCUUUGCCCUUCUUCUUACUACCUUCAUCACUCGAGUCACUAAUCGAAUCACCACUAUUUUGAGCUCUACCCAAAUUCAUUUGCUUAAACUUCAUCACACUCCUUAUCAUGUGUAUUUUCACCACUCCUCUUAUAUUCAUUUUCAGCUUUAAUUUCUAUUUCCUUAUUCCUAAGUGAAUCUAUGACAAUCUUGAGUGUUAGGGUGUACUUACCAUACUUAAUUGCAUUCUUAACCUCUCUAUAUGAAUCAGACAUGGAAUUAAGUAAGAUAAUUGCUUUAUAUGUUUCAGACACCUUUUUAUCACAGUUAACAAUGUCUUGAACAAGUUUGUUAAAAGUAUCUGGAUUGUCGUCAAGAUCCUUUGAAAGAUCCAUUUUAAAACUGAAAAAUCUUUCAAAUAAGUACAACUUAUUAGGAGUGGACUUAAGCAAAUAUAAUUCCUCCAACUUUUUCCAAAGUUCUUUUGUGAAAUCCAAUUUUCCAACUUUUCUCAAAACAGUGUCUGGUAAAUGUAAGAUAAUCGAAGUGUAAGCAAGUUCAUCGUAUUCCUCUUUUUGUGUUUCUGUCAAAUUUGAGGAAAAUUUGCGAUCUAUGGCCUUCGAAACUUUUUGUUGAAUUAAAAUCCCCCUCAUCUUUUGUUGUCAAAUUGAAAAAUUCCCUUUCCCAUUGAAAAUACCACUUUAAAAUGUGAAGACAUUUUUGGAAAAACAGAGCAACUAAAUGCAUAGAUAGGUCACAAAAAGUAAUCCUACGGCCGCAAUAACGCUGUUCUAGAUUCCCAGCACCGCCUUCAUUUGCAGAUCACAAAUCUGGCCUCCGUUUCACCAAAAGACGUCUGGAUUGGCCAAAAAUUGAGGUUGCAGAUUCAGUUUUUUUUGAAAAAUUUCUGGACAGUUUAAUCCGGCUGGUUUCUGCUUUGAUUCUGGUCAGAAAUUCCACCCCAACCUCACUGUAAUACCAAAUGUUGAAUAAUUGACCUCCAAUUGGUGGAAUUUCGGGCUCAAGAUACCAAUCUCGACCUUAUCAAUACACCCAAGCAAUCACGACCCAAAACCUUAAACUCUUCCAUACUUCAGUUGCUCAAGAUUUGUACCCACUUAGGACACAAAAGGGACGGUGUUUGCAGCCACAAAGGCCAGAGAAGAACAAGAAGAAAACCGGCCAAAGAGAAGCACAAAGCAAAGAGGCAGGACUUGUGUUUUCUCUCAAACAAAAAACACACAUUAAUGACAAACAAAGGAGGCUAGC
rnacentral:lncRNA from 1 species